rnacentral:rRNA from 1 species
AGGAUGAACGCUGGCGGUCUGCUUAACACAUGCAAGUCGAACGGGCGUAGCAAUACGUUAGUGGCGGACGGGUGAGUAACGCGUGAGAAUCUACCUUCAGGACGGAGACAACAGUUGGAAACGACUGCUAACCCCCGAUGUACUGAAAAAGGCAAAUAUUUAUAGCCUGAAGAAGAGCUCGCGUCCGAUUAGCUAGUUGGAGAGGUAAAAGCUCACCAAGGCGACGAUCGGUAGCUGGUCUGAGAGGACGAUCAGCCACACUGGGACUGAGACACGGCCCAGACUCCUACGGGAGGCAGCAGUGGGGAAUUUUCCGCAAUGGGCGAAAGCCUGACGGAGCAAGACCGCGUGGGGGAAGAAGGCUCGUUGGGUUGUAAACCCCUUUUCUCUGGGAAGAACGCAAUGACGGUACCAGAGGAAUCAGCAUCGGCUAACUCCGUGCCAGCAGCCGC